rnacentral:tRNA from 1 species
UCCUCGGUAGUAUAGUGGUUAGUAUCCCCGCCUGUCACGCGGGAGACCGGGGUUCGAUUCCCCACCGGGGAG